rnacentral:rRNA from 1 species
UACGGGGGGGGCAAGCGUUGUUCGGAAUUACUGGGCGUAAAGGGCUCGUAGGCGGCCAACUAAGUCCGACGUGAAAUCCCCAGGCUUAACCUGGGAACUGCGUCGGAUACUGGAUGGCUUGAAUUCGGGAGAGGGAUGCAGAAUUCCAGGUGUAGCGGUGAAAUGCGUAGAUAUCGGGAGGAACACCAGUGGCGAAGGCGGUUGCCUGGAGCUUUGCUGACGCUGAUGCGCGAAAGCGUGGGGAGCGAUCCGG